CUAAGGCUCCAGAGGAAGCCACGGCUAACUCUGUGCCAGCAGCCGCGGUAAUACAGAGGCGGCAAGCGUUGUUCGGAAUUAUUGGGCGUAAAGAGCACGUAGGCGGCCUUGCAAGUCAGUUGUGAAAGCCUUCCGCUUAACGGAAGAAUGCCAGCUGAUACUACAGGGCUUGAGUACGGGAGGGGAGAGUGGAACUUCUGGUGGAGCGGUGAAAUGCGUAGAUAUCAGAAGGAACGCCGGCGGCGAAAGCGACUCUCUGGCCCGAAGCUGACGCUGAGUGUGCGAAAGCUAGGGGAGCAAACGGGAUUAGAUACCCCGGUAGUCCUAGCCGUAAA
rnacentral:rRNA from 1 species